UAACAAUUCUGCGGCACACACGACUUCUGUUCUGCUUUAGAACGGACAAAAUGCAGCGGCUUUUUACGCCGUUUGCGAGUUUUUACUUGAUCCCCCGAUACCACGGAGGGAAGGUAUUUGCGCGCAGGCAAGCGCCAGAGUUGAACUCGUUAGCACACGCCUCGGGUGCGUCUCCCCCAGCUGCAGCUCAGAUGACACUAAUCCACUUGGCCACACCUUUUUCAAGAGCCAGACUGCUGAUUCCAGAACAUCAUUUCCAACUUGCGUUGCUGCUUGCGCCUCGGCAUGCCGCUCGCGGGCGAUGGCUACGGAGGCUAGCGCGCUGGACGAGCUGCAGAGCGAGCUCACCUGCCCGGUGUGCCUGGAGCUGUUCCGCGAACCGGUGAUACUGGAGUGCGGGCACCACUUCUGCCGCCAGUGCAUCACCCAGUGCUGGAGCGCCAAGCCAGAGGAGAACCCGACGUGCCCGCAGUGUCGGAAGACAUGCGCCCAGAAACUCCGUCCCAACUCGCUCUUGUGCAACGUCGUCGACAGUGUCAGGCGAGCCAGGGCGAUGGACGCGGAGCCGACGGCGCCCCGGGAGAGGACCCAGCGGCCGCCGGUCAGCGGGGGAAGCUCGGAGCUCGCCCCGGAGCCCGACCAGUGCGAGGAGCACGAAGAGAAACUCAAGCUCUUCUGCGAGGACGACCAGGUGGCCAUCUGCCUGGUCUGCGGCAUGUCCAGGGACCACAAGACGCACAGCGUCAUCCCGAUCAACGAAGCUUUCGAGAACUACAAGGAGAGGCUCUCUGCUGCGCUGCAGAGGGUGGAGCUGCAGAUCGAGGAGGCCUCUUCCUCUCAGACUCUGACCAAUCAAAAGAUGAUGGAGAUAAAGGAGCAUGCUGGGACGCUGGAGGACCAGAUGGGGCGGGAGUUCGCACAGCUGCGGCUGUUCCUGCAGCGUGAGGAGGAGCAGGCCCGGGCAACCCUGCGCGGCCGCAAGGAGGAGAGGCUCCAGCAGCUGGAUGAGACGCUCACACACACCACCCAGCACAUCAGCACCCUGCACACCACUGCUCUACAGCUGCAGCACAAACUGGACCAGGACGACAACCCAGCCCAGCUGAGGGGAAUCAAGAACUUCAUCAGCGACGCAGAGACUCUGUUCCAGCGCCCCCUGGAGGUCUCCAUGGAUCUGCAGGCCGGCGAAUUCCUGGGGCCCCUGCAAUAUCGCCUCUGGAGGAAGAUGAGCUCCAUACUAAAUCCAGUGGCAGGUCCAGCCGCUGUGACCCUUGACCCCGACACGGCGUACCCUCGCCUGGUGGUGUCCCCGUGCGGCACGAGUGUGAGGGUGGGUGAGAUCCAGCGCAACCUGCCAGACAACCCGGAGCGCUUCACCCUCUACAACAUCGUGCUGGGCUCCCAGGCCUUCUCCUCUGGCCGGCACUACUGGGAGGUGGAGGUGGGUGAUAAGACGGCCUGGGGCCUGGGCGUGGCGGCGGCCUGGGUGAACAGGAAGGAGGAGGUCAGCCUGUGUCCGGAGGACGGCUUCUGGACGGUGGGGCUGCGGAGCGGGGGGGAGUAUGAGGCCUGCACCAGCGCGGGGAGUGCCCUGAGCCUGGGGAGCCGGCCGCGGCGCGUCGGCCUGUUCCUGGACCUCUCCGCCGGCCUGCUGUCCUUCUACGACUCCGCCGACAUGAGCCACAUCUUCACCUUCUCCCACAUCCCGCCCCAGCCCCUCUACCCCUACUUCAACCCCUGGCCCAUCAUCAGCGGGCAGAACACUGAGCCCCUCCGCGUGGUCGCCCCGCGGCCCUGACCCCCCAGGGGGCUGCGGCACAGAGGGGGGCUCUCCAUCGCCAGGGGGGGCUGUUGGACACAUCUCAAACUCAGCUCCUGUCUUGCCUACUGGUUUUUGGACUGGAGUUAAACCUGCACACACACCCUCCAGGACUGGAGUUAAACCUGCACACACACCCUCCAGGACUGGAGUUAAACCUGUAUACACACCGGCCCUCCAGGACUGGAGUUAAACCUGUAUACACUGCGGCCCUCCAGGACUGGAGUUAAACCUGCAGACACUGCGGCCCUCCAGGACUGGAGUUAAACCUGUAUACACUGCGGCCCUCCAGGACUGGAGUUAAACCUGCAGACACUGCGGCCCUCCAGGACUGGAGUUAAACCUGCAGACACUGUGGCCCUCCAGGACUGGAGUUAAACCUGCAGACACUGUGGCCCUCCAGGACUGGAGUUAAACCUGCAGACACUGCAGCCCUGCAGGACUGGAGUUAAACCUGCAGACACUGUGGCCCUGCAGGACUGGAGUUAAACCUGCAGACACUGUGGCCCUCCAGGACUGGAGUUAAACCUGCAGACACUGUGGCCCUCCAGGACUGGAGUUAAACCUGCAGACACUGCAGCCCUGCAGGACUGGAGUUAAACCUGCAGACACUGUGGCCCUCCAGGACUGGAGUUAAACCUGCAGACACUGUGGCCCUCCAGGACUGUAGUUAAACCUGCAGACUCUGCGGCCCUCCAGGACUGUAGUUAAACCUGCAGAUACUGUGGCCCUCCAGGACUGGAGUUAAACCUGCAGACACUAAAAAAGAAAUAAAUGCAAUAAGUCAAUAAAAAUGCAAUAUCCUCCUGAUACCCAGAAGAAAAAACUUAUUUUAACUUCUUGGAUAACAAAAAAUUAGUUUCAACAAUUAUGUUAGAAUUGUAUUUAUUUUUAUAAAAUGGUAGGCAUUUAUAAAGCACUGUACAAUUGAUGCUUCUCAUUCACCUAUUCAUGCACACACUCAAGGCGAUUGGCUGCCAUGCAAGGCACCAACCAGCUCGUAGGAGCAUUUUGGGGUUAGGUGUCUUGCUCAGGGACACUUUGACACGCCCCGGGCGGGGAUCGAACCGGCAACCCUUUUUUUUUUUUUUUUUAGAUACCUUACUGAUGUCAUCAUGCUGGAGUGGAGAAGGGCUGUUCCAUCACUGAGUCUCUUUUCAGCACGAAGCAGUCCGCAUGUUCUCUCCUUUGAAAACUGUGCUCAGUAUUAAAAAUGUUUGCCAUGAUCCAGCUGGGUUAGUAGCCUGAGAUUUAUGAGUGAUGAGUUAUGUUUGAAUGAAAAUGUAUCUUCUCCUAUUUGUAACUGACUAAGCUGAUCUCAAAUGGCCCUUUAUUGCUGGUGCUAUGGGUAGCCUGUAGCCUAGUGACUAAGGUACAUGACUGGGACAGCCUGUAGCCUAGUGGCUAAUUGUCAUUUCCUAACAAUUUUGAGUGAAUUUCUUAAAUGUAUCUGUGUACUAACCUGAAUCAUUACAUUGUAUUAAGUAUGUAAUUCUCUGUAUUAUAUUAUGGUCCGUUAUCAUUCCAAAACAGCUACAAAGCAAUGCUCCACCGGUACACAGUGCAGUACAUAUCAAUGUUAUAUCUCAAAGUGUGCAAUUUAAUAAUUUCAUUUAUCAGGGUGACAGGUGGGGACAGGAGGUGAUCUAGGGUCACCUCAGAUGUUUAUGGUAUGGAGUCCCAGUCAGGGUCCUGAUGACAUCAUCGGAACAAGAGAGAGAGGCUGAAGGCCUGCCCGUGGAGUGUAUAAAUAUGACAACAAUGUCACUUUGGCCUUAAUCAGGUCACUGUCUGUUUAUGUUUCAUCUCCAAUUUCAGGUUUCAUUUUGGCCCAAAUUCACCAGCAAUACACAUAAUUCCUCGUUAUACCUCUGUUAUAUUUGCCACUGGCUUCAUUAAAAACAGACUAAUUUUAA